rnacentral:rRNA from 1 species
CAGCCGCCGCGGUAAUACAGAGGGUGCGAGCGUUAAUCGGAUUUACUGGGCGUAAAGCGUGCGUAGGCGGCUUCUUAAGUCGGAUGUGAAAUCCCUGAGCUUAACUAGGAAUUGCAUUCGAUACUGGGAAGCUAGAGUAUGGGAGAGGAUGGUAGAAUUCCAGGUGUAGCGGUAAAAUGCGUAGAGAUCUGGAGGAAUACCGAUGGCGAAGGCAGCCAUCUGGCCUAAUACUGACGCUGAGGUACGAAAGCAUGGGGAGCAAACAGGAUUAGAUACCCCCGUAGUCCCUGUCUCUUAUACA